CGGCUACUAUAUUAUCGAUAAUAC
rnacentral:miRNA from 1 species